rnacentral:rRNA from 1 species
CCUACGGGAGGCAGCAGUAGGGAAUAUUGCUCAAUGGGGGAAACCCUGAAGCAGCAACGCCGCGUGGAGGAUGAAGGUUUUCGGAUUGUAAACUUCUUUUAAGGGGGAAGAGCAGAAGACGGUACCCCUUGAAUAAGCCACGGCUAACUACGUGCCAGCAGCCGCGGUAAUACGUAGGUGGCAAGCGUUGUCCGGAUUUACUGGGUGUAAAGGGCGUGCAGCCGGGAAGACAAGUCAGAUGUGAAAUCCCGCGGCUCAACCGCGGAACUGCAUUUGAAACUGUUUUUCUUGAGUAUCGGAGAGGUAAUCGGAAUUCCUAGUGUAGCGGUGAAAUGCGUAGAUAUUAGGAAGAACACCAGUGGCGAAGGCGGAUUACUGGACGACAACUGACGGUGAGGCGCGAAAGCGUGGGGAGCAAACAGGAUUAGAUACCCGAGUAGUC